UAUCGUGACAAUAGCGAAGGGGUCACACCUGUUCCCAUACCGAACACAGCAGUUAAGCCCUUCAGCGC
rnacentral:rRNA from 1 species